CCACAUAAAGUGGGGAUAGCCUUUUGGGAAAUAGAGAUUGGGUAGGCGGGGUAGUCUGCCUGGCCAAUGGGAAGUUUGAUUCCCAUGAAUGUUUAGACCAAUCAGAGAGCGGAAUGCCACAGAGGCUCCACCUUCUUUCCCGUGUUGGCAGCAUUGAUUGUGAGCGGGAGAUCCGACCCUGAUCAGACAGCUGAGCCAGAAACCACUAAGAUCAGUUGGAACUGUUGCACUUUCUGGCAGUUGAUUGGCAGUUGUUUUCAGUUCAACUGAAGUGCCCUCCGUGUCUGGAAUGAGAGUCCCUGUCUAGUUGUUUUGAACGUGCCGCACUGAGAUCGAUCAGGGUUUUUUUGUUGUUGUGUUGUUUUUGUUUUUUUUGCUUUUUCUUCUCUUCUCCUGGAUUGUUCCUGGAGUGGAUUCCCCUACUGACUUUGAUGAGAGCCUUCCCACCUGGACUUAGAAAGAUCUGGAUUUCCUCCCAUGUUGAGUGAGACCUGAACCAGGAUUUAAUUUGAUUCAUUUGUCAUCUAAAAGAGAUUAGAGCGCAAACUACCAGAGUGCACCCAAUAGAUUUAAAUUUGAUAUUUAGCACUUGGCCAAGUAUUGUUGUUUUAUUUCAUGUAUUUUAUUGUGUGUAAUUUUAUUUUCUUAAUUGUAUGUC